UAUUAAAAAUUUCAUCUUUUUAUAUUGUUAAAAAUUGGCGUGGCUAACAGAAUAAUCGGAAAGUGACACAUAACAUGCCAUGUGUACAUCAUGCUGAUGUACAAUGACCGGUUUUUAACAAUAGAAAUGGAUGGAAUUUUUAACA
rfam:Gossypium hirsutum cultivar TM-1 chromosome 9, whole genome shotgun sequence